rnacentral:rRNA from 1 species
CUUUUACAAUGAAGAGUUUGAUCCUGGCUCAGGAUGAACGCUAGCUACAGGCUUAACACAUGCAAGUCGAGGGGCAGCAUUUCAGUUUGCUUGCAAACUGGAGAUGGCGACCGGCGCACGGGUGAGUAACACGUAUCCAACCUGCCGAUAACUCGGGGAUAGCCUUUCGAAAGAAAGAUUAAUACCCGAUGGCAUAAUUAGACCGCAUGGUCUUGUUAUUAAAGAAUUUCGGUUAUCGAUGGGGAUGCGUUCCAUUAGGCAGUUGGUGAGGUAACGGCUCACCAAACCUUCGAUGGAUAGGGGUUCUGAGAGGAAGGUCCCCCACAUUGGAACUGAGACACGGUCCAAACUCCUACGGGAGGCAGCAGUGAGGAAUAUUGGUCAAUGGGCGCAGGCCUGAACCAGCCAAGUAGCGUGAAGGAUGACUGCCCUAUGGGUUGUAAACUUCUUUUAUAUGGGAAUAAAGUUUUCCACGUGUGGAAUUUUGUAUGUACCAUAUGAAUAAGGAUCGGCUAACUCCGUGCCAGCAGCCGCGGUAAUACGGAGGAUCCGAGCGUUAUCCGGAUUUAUUGGGUUUAAAGGGAGCGUAGGUGGACAGUUAAGUCAGUUGUGAAAGUUUGCGGCUCAACCGUAAAAUUGCAGUUGAUACUGGCUGUCUUGAGUACAGUAGAGGUGGGCGGAAUUCGUGGUGUAGCGGUGAAAUGCUUAGAUAUCACGAAGAACUCCGAUUGCGAAGGCAGCUCACUGGACUGCAACUGACACUGAUGCUCGAAAGUGUGGGUAUCAAACAGGAUUAGAUACCCUGGUAGUCCACACAGUAAACGAUGAAUACUCGCUGUUUGCGAUAUACAGUAAGCGGCCAAGCGAAAGCAUUAAGUAUUCCACCUGGGGAGUACGCCGGCAACGGUGAAACUCAAAGGAAUUGACGGGGGCCCGCACAAGCGGAGGAACAUGUGGUUUAAUUCGAUGAUACGCGAGGAACCUUACCCGGGCUUAAAUUGCAUUUGAAUAAUCUGGAAACAGGUUAGCCGCAAGGCAAAUGUGAAGGUGCUGCAUGGUUGUCGUCAGCUCGUGCCGUGAGGUGUCGGCUUAAGUGCCAUAACGAGCGCAACCCUUAUCUUUAGUUACUAACAGGUCAUGCUGAGGACUCUAGAGAGACUGCCGUCGUAAGAUGUGAGGAAGGUGGGGAUGACGUCAAAUCAGCACGGCCCUUACGUCCGGGGCUACACACGUGUUACAAUGGGGGGUACAGAAGGCAGCUACCUGGUGACAGGAUGCUAAUCCCAAAAGCCUCUCUCAGUUCGGAUCGAAGUCUGCAACCCGACUUCGUGAAGCUGGAUUCGCUAGUAAUCGCGCAUCAGCCAUGGCGCGGUGAAUACGUUCCCGGGCCUUGUACACACCGCCCGUCAAGCCAUGAAAGCCGGGGGUACCUGAAGUACGUAACCGCAAGGAGCGUCCUAGGGUAAAACUGGUAAUUGGGGCUAAGUCGUAACAAGGUAGCCGUACCGGAAGGUGCGGCUGGAACACCUCCUUU